rnacentral:rRNA from 1 species
CCUACGGGAGGCUGCAGUGGGGAAUAUUGGGCAAUGGGCGCAAGCCUGACCCAGCAACGCCGCGUGAAGGAAGAAGGCUUUCUGGUUGUAAACUUCUUUUCUCAGGGACGAAAAACGUGACGGUUCCUCACUAAUAAGCCCCCGCUAACUACGUGCCAGCAGCCGCGGUACUCCGUAGGGGGCAAUCGUUAUGCGGAUUUGCUGGGUGUAAAGGGAGCGUAGACGGCAGGGCAAGUCCGGAGUGAAAGCCCGGGGCUCAACCCGGGGAAUGCUCUUGAAACUGCAAAGCUGGAGUGGGGGAGGGGCAGGCGGAAUUCCUGGUGUAGCGGUGAAAUGCGUAGAUAUCAGGAGGAACACCGGCGGCGAAGGCGGCCUGCUGGAACGUAACUGACGUUGAGGCGCGAAAGCGUGGGUAUCAAACAGGAUUAGAUACCCUAGUAGUC